rnacentral:rRNA from 1 species
CCUACGGGAGGCAGCAGUGGGGAAUAUUGCACAAUGGGGGAAACCCUGAUGCAGCGACGCCGCGUGAGUGAAGAAGUAAUUCGUUAUGUAAAGCUCUAUCAGCAGGGAAGAAAAUGACGGUACCUGAGUAAGAAGCCCCGGCUAACUACGUGCCAGCAGCCGCGGUAAUAAGUAGGGGGCAAGCGUUAUCCGGAUUUACUGGGUGUAAAGGGAGCGUAGACGGCAGUGCAAGUCUGGAGUGAAAGGCGGGGGCUCAACCCCCGGACUGCUCUGGAAACUGUACGGCUGGAGUGCAGGAGAGGUAAGUGGAAUUCCUAGUGUAGCGGGGAAAUGCGUAGAUAUUAGGAGGAACACCAGUGGCGAAGGCGGCUUACUGGACUGUAACUGACGUUGAGGCUCGAAAGCGUGGGGAGCAAACAGGAUUAGAUACCCGAGUAGUC